rnacentral:lncRNA from 1 species
UUUUCUUCCUUUCCCCACCCUGCUCCAUGAAAUUAAGACAGUUAUAGGCAAUUAAAAAGCUUAGAGAGUUUGUUUCUAGUAGUCUUCUGUUCCUAGAAACAGAAAAGAAAAAAAAUUAGUGUAUCAAUAGAAAAGACAGACCUAUACAAAGGAACGAACAGUGAAAUGUAUUUGAGUAACUAUAAAAGUGGCUCCUUUAAUUGCUAUAUUUUACAGUUUUUCCUGUUUUAUUUUUCUCAAGAAAUUAAUUAUUUAAGGCACAAAUAAUAGUAACUUGUAGAGUAUAAAAAACAUGUAGAGGAAAACUUGAUUCACAGCAGCACAAACUCUGGUGUGCAGAUGUGAAAUACAGGUGCUGCUAAGUGUGUAGUGAGGUGACAUCUCAUUGAACCAUCAUAAACUAAAAUAGCCUACUUAAUAGCAUAGCUGGCCAGCAUAAUAUAGUUUUUACUAUAUUAUACUAUAAUAUACCCUUGUGGCUGUGUAGCUGAUUGAGUACUGUAGCUUGCUGCCGCUUCCUGAAUCUAGAGGAUAUGUGACUACAUAUCCUUAGUGCAGGAAAAGGUCAGAAUUCAGAAAUGAAGUAUGGUUUGUACUGAAUUCAAACUCUUUUAUACUGUCCAAAAGUCAAAAUGAAUUGAACUUUCAGAAAUCAUGGACCGUCUGUGCAUGGCAGUGUUCUCAGUUACAUGUAAAGUGCUAUGAGGUAAUAUGUACUGUAUAAAUUAAUGAUAAAUGUUAUCAUCCCUAGGGCAUCAUAGUUAGAAUGAAUUAAUAGAGACAGUACUGGCAUAUUAAAAAUGACUGCAUAACAAUGAUAAAAAAAUUAACUUGACAGAGAAAGAAAACAAAACACUGAAGAGUAGACUUAUGUUGGUGGAACUUGAUGUAAUAUCUUCACUACGAAAAAAUUUGUUGUCCUUAUAAAAUUAAAAUAGAGUUAUAUACCUUAAAGUUAUCCUUUGGUUUAUAUUCAUACAAAGUUCAUUUAUAAUUUUAAUAAUAAAUUUGCCAAACUGAUUUACUCAAAUGUUGAUCAGCAAGUCAAAUCAUUGUCAUGCUUGUAUAGUAAAACACUGUUUAGCAAAACAAAGAAUUGAGCACAACUCAGCAGUAAAUCUCAAAUAUUGCAAGAUAUUUGAUCACACUGUGAAUCCUGAGGUCGUGCUAUAUAUUUACUGAAAAAAACCUGUUUCUAGUUUUGAGGCUCAGCCCCUAGUACACACCUAUUAUCCCAAACAAUGAAGAUGAGGUUAGUUUGUGAAAAAGAUACACCCAUGUUUGAAAGUGAUGUCUAAUUGAGUGGAAGACAAAGUGAUGAAUCAGAGAAAGAUUAGAUAGAAUAGGGUAUGUCCAACUCUCAGGAGGUCAGAGAAAAGAGAGGCUACUUAAAGAGAGCAGUGCAGAGAAAAGAGGAGGCAGUUUUACUGGGAGAGGUUUACGGAGACAGUAAAUAUUCUCUCCCAGCCUGGAGUUUGUCUCUUGCAUUGAUGUUUCCUUUGCUGUAAAGCUUUUUACUUUGAUACAAUCUCAUUUGUCAAUUCUUGGUGUUAUUUCUGAGUUCCUGCAGUCUUGUUUAGAAAGUCCUUGACAGUACCUUUAUCUUGAAAUGUUUUCUCUCCUUAGCAUCAACUUUUAGAAUUUCUGGAUGUAUAGUAUAAGGUCUUUAUUUUUAAUUUAUUUUUGUUCAGAAUGAAAAGUGUAUGUCUAUUUUGAUUCUUCUACAUGUGUUUGUCCAUUUCCCUCAGUGUAUAUUACUGUGUAUAUUAUUUGCAUUUUUGUAAAAAAUAUGGUUCAUAAUUAAUUGUAUGGAUUUAGUUCUGGGGCUUCUUGUCUAGUCUGUUGCCUUGUGUCUGCUUUGUACCUGUAGGAUACUGUUUUUAUUACUGUUGUUUUGUAGGGCAAUUCAAAAUUCAAAAUGCUCUCAGUAUUGUUCUUUUUGCUUAUGUUUGGUUUCGGUGUUUGCAAUCUUCUGUGCCUUCAUGUGAAUUUCUAGUUCUAUAAAAAAGGUUACUGGGGGCUGGUGAUGAUAUAGCUAUUUUUGCACUGUCAAUUUUACC